UGCCCUACGGGAGGCAGCAGUGAGGAAUAUUGGUCAAUGGACGCAAGUCUGAACCAGCCAUGCCGCGUGCAGGAUGACGGCUCUAUGAGUUGUAAACUUCUUUUGUACGAGGGUAAACCCCGAUACGUGUAUCGGGUUGAAAGUAUCGUACGAAUAAGCAUCGGCUAACUCCGUGCCAGCAGCCGCGGUAAUACGGAGGAUGCGAGCGUUAUCCGGAUUUAUUGGGUUUAAAGGGUGCGUAGGCGGUUUUUUAAGUUAGUGGUUAAACGUCGGGGCUUCACCUUGUUUUGCCAUUAAUACUUUAA
rnacentral:rRNA from 1 species